rnacentral:lncRNA from 1 species
GAGAACCUGCGGGAGAGCGCCCGGGCUUGCUGCUUCCCGGACCCGCGCGUCUCUCGAGCACCCUCGUCCCACCACCUUGUGAGGCCGUAGUGUUAUUUUUAUUUUUUAGAUCAGCAGACUGAGACUCGAGGUGACGUCACUCCGCAGAGAGGUUAGCUGACUUGAAGAAAACGGGUAUCUCCUCUUUCCAUUUCGCCCGUGUAAACAGCCGAACUGCCUAUUAUAAAAGCAUGGACUGCCAGCAUUGGAGUGGUCCUUAGAGGCCUAUUAUGAAAUCAUAGAAUGUCUGCAUUGGAAUCGCCUCACCUCCUUUUACCGCUGGAGAAGCCGACGGACAGACGGGCAGCGACCCCCGCCGUCGCACAACCCGUCUAGGCAGAGAGCGCAGGAGACGGGAGGGCGGCAGGGACACAUCUCCCAGCCAAGGACCUCCUGGGCCCGCAGAGGCCGCGACAGGUUCCCCCCACAGAGGGAACCAACUCUGCCGCAGGUUAGAGCACAGCAGACUGAGCCACCCAGAACUGGCCCCUCCGGUGGACCAGCCCCUGCGGAUUCACAGACCACUGGUCCUGGAAGGGACCUUGUCAAGCAGGCCCAUAAGGUGGCUAUUCAGCCUGUUUCUCCAACAACCCCAGGGGCUAGAAGCCCGCCACACCCCCGUGUAACUCAUUUUGUUUUUGGACAGCUCUGACUCUGGGAGUUCUUAGAUUGAGCUGACACCUCGCUCCCAGCAAUGUCUGUCCACUGCUGUGGGGGGUGAGAGGAAGCGUUUUCCCCUAUCUAGCCCCUAUAGCAGCAGUUUCACUCCCAUGGCUCAUCUCUGGACCACAGUCUCAUCUUCUUUAACACAGGGCCUCAGUAUGGGAAUGGAUGUGGAUGGAGAUAAUGGAGGGGAAGUGAGCUGGAAGGGGAGAAGGGAAACAGGGUUGCUGGUCACAGAGUGGAAUGUGUUCCCCAGGGAUUUGCCUCAGCCAGGGGCCUGCACAGUCACUGUUGGCACUGUCCCCACCUUUGUUCCCAGUCAAAUAUCCACUGGUGCCGUCUCUCCCUCCCAGGCCAGGACUGCUCAGUGGAUCUAACAUUACACCCUGACAGCCCUGUCCAGCCCAUGGAGCAGAGAGAGAGGGUUCUCAGCGAGGGGAAGCAGGAUGGCCACCUCCCUUCCCUUCCUGAGUUCUUUCCACCCCAGUGUUCAACACCUGUGUUGCGUCUCCUGCCCUGUCAGCAGGAGUCUAGGUCAGUGAUGGCAAUCCUGUUUUCAAGGGAAUACACAAACUUCCCUGUAUGUUCCAAAUUAUUGGGCAGAUUUGCUUUGUUCCUGCUUGGGCUGGGAAGCAUCACUGAGUUCAGCAUCCCUGAACUCAACUGUGACUGGGCCCUUGAUUAAGCAACAGCUUGCUUUCAGACCCUCUAAUGAAAGGGACUACGAUCGUAUGACAUAAAGUGUUUUAUUAGUUAAUUAACUAACAAACAUUGGAACAGGAGGUGAUGAAGAGUUCUCUGAAGAACCUUGGAAACAUAUUUCCCUCAUCAAGAGUUAAACUUUUGUCUCCUGUACUGGUUCUUCCACUCCCAAACCCACAACAAAUGAAUGCAGAUGAAGAUGACUUUGGUAGCACUUAAAAAAAAAUAGUUUGUAAAAUUGUGAGGGCCAGUACUGCUUUUUUUUUUUUUUUUUUUGAGACAAAGUCUUGCUCUGUCGCCCAGGCUGGAAUGCAAUGGCACAAUCUCCACUCACUGCAACCUCUGCCUCCUGGGUUCAAGUGAUUCUCCUGCCUCAGCCUCCCGAGUAGCUGGGACUACAGGUGCCUGCCACCACACCCAGCUAAUUUUUGUAUUUUUAGUAGAGAUGGGGUUUCAUCAUGUUGGCCAGGCUUGUCUCAAACUUCUGACCUCAGGUGAUCUGCCCGCCUCAGCCUCCCAAAGUGCUGGGAUUAUAGGCAUGAGCCACCACACAUGGCCUGCUUUUCCUUAUCUUUCAGAAUAGUUGAACUACUUUAUUCCUCAGUGUGGCCCAAAUAAGAUUUUCAAAUGCCUCUAAACAGAGCUCUCCUUCUGUGCCUCUGCUGAGGUUUGCUCCUGUAGGAAGUUAUCUGGACCAAACAGCCCGAGCACUGAAUUUAGCUGUAUUGCUGUUACAUUUCCUGUGUGUUGAGGGUUUGGCUGCCAGGAGGUGAAUUGUAGAUAGAAUCUUUCAUUCUGGUUUCAGUUUCUGGAAGUAGCUAUUGAGCUCAAGGCAAAUCAUAUAUUUAAAGAUAUAUACAUGAUUUAAGGAUAAUCUGGCAUUUAUCUCUGCUCUCUUUUUGAAGACUUCAUUAUCAUGGUUGCCUGACCCAACACAACAUAUUUGGAGGAGGAGAGGGGACACUUUUAUUGUACCCCAUCACGUGGCUGAGUCAUUUGGCUCUCCAUUCACUGGAACAGACGACUAUGGACACCACCAUUGGGUUUCCCACCAAGGACAGAGUUCCAAAGCAACAGUGGCUUCCAUGGUUGGCUCACCCAGCCUGCCUGAGUCAUCAGCUAGGUCCACAGAGUAGAGAAGUGGGUAGUGCCCCCGCCUAACAUCUGGAAAAAUUCCCAAAAGUUGUGACUUCAUGACCACUGAGUCAGCAGCAACUCUUUUCUUGCCAAGAAUAGCACAUUGUUCUUUUCCUUUUCAGGUAAUCCCUCCCCGGAAAGAGAAGAUCACAGAUUUUGUCAUAUUAAAUACAUUGUAGAAAUUCAUGGUAGCAGGGGCAAGAUCAUUUAAACAAAACAGAAAGUUUCAGAGAGAGAAAAAGCCAAGGACAAAGAUUAAUCAUUUUUCUGCUUAAAAAAAAUGGCUUUGAUUUGCAACCAUGGAAUGCUCCACUGUUUCUCUUCUCUUCAAAGACAUCUACUGAAAGGAUUCCUUAACCUUACCAAGUGGCCAAAAUACUUUUCUGAGAAGAGUCACAGAGCAUAGGCCCCCCUAGGGUACACAGAGAUUUCAUUAGUCCCUAGAUGUUUCCUGAUCCUUUUAAAAACUGGUUAAAUUCAGAGACUCUAGGCAAUUACUUCUUUCAGAACCUGUGAGGCAAAAACGAAAGAAGAAGGCAGGACACGCAGUGUAACAAACCUUGGAAUGCCGCUGCCAUGAAGGUUGACCUGUGCAGUUUCAGCAGGUACAAGAUCUACCCCGGACACGGGAGGCGCCACGCCAGGACCGACGGGAGGGUUUUCCAGUUUCUUAAUUCAAAAUGCAAGUUGGCGUUCCUUUCCAAGAGGAAUCCUCCGCAGAUAAACUGGACUGUCCUCUACAGAAGGAAGCACAAAAAGGGGCAGUCGGAGUAAAUUCAAAAGAAAAGAACCCACCGAGCAGUCAAAUUCCAGAAGACCAUUACGGUGUAUCUCUUGCUGCUAUAAUGGCCAAGAGGAAUCAGAAACCCGAAGUUAGAAAGGCUCAAAGAGAACAAGCUAUCAGGGCUGCUAAGGAAGCAAAAAAUGGCUAAGCAAGCAUCUAAAAAGACUGCAAGGGCUGCUGCUACGGCACCUACAAAGGCAGCACCUGAGCAAAAGAUUGUGAAGCCUGUGGAAGUUUCAGCUCCCCGAGUUGGUGGAAAACACUAAACUGGCAGAUUAGAUUUUUAAAUAAAGAUUGGAUUAUAACUCUAAUAAUAAGAAGAAAAUAAAAAUCUCCUAAAUCUGCCUUCGCCUUUCUACUUCCACUUUCUAGUUCAGGCCCUCGUCAUGACACAGUGGAGCACUGGCCAUCUCACAGGUCCUCCUGCUGUCAGGCCCGUGCAUCCCCUCUCCAUUCCCCUCUGCUGCUAGAGCCAUCACUCAGUGCUGCGGACGGUACCCCUCCCAGGGCAGGAGGUAGGUGGAUCCCCAUAGCGUCAUGAAUGACUCUGCUUUAGUCAGCUGCCUGGGCUUUACCAGCCCCUUCCUCAUCAGAUCCUGGCAUUCUCUGUAGCCAACCUGAAGACAGAGCAUUUGCUUUUAGAGAACUCCAGCCUCGAUUUGUUCUUUAGUGACUUUUUUCCUACCGUGAAUUAACAAGUUGGUAUUUGGAUUUCAUUUUUAAGAUGUAAGUUAAAUUGUUUCCUAGAAUUGAGUCCUUGAAUCAAUUCACCUUCAGAUUGUAAUCUGAGCUCCAUGUCAUGGUUUACAAAGCUGUCAGUGAUCUGGCCUUUGGCCACCUGUUCUACUUCUCCUCUGCAGGGUCCCGGACCCUAGGUGCUACAGA